rnacentral:rRNA from 1 species
UACAGAGGGUGCAAGCGUUUAAUCGGAAUUACUGGGCGUAAAGCGUGCGUAGACGGUUACAUAAGUCGGGUGUGAAAGCCCCGGGCUCAACCUGGGAAUUGCAUUCGAGACUGCGUAGCUAGGGUGCGGAAGAGGGAAGCGGAAUUUCCGGUGUAGCGGUGAAAUGCGUAGAUAUCGGAAGGAACACCAGUGGCGAAAGCGGCUUCCUGGUCCAGCACCGACGUCAGGCACGAAAGCGUGGGAACAAACAGG